rfam:Enterococcus sp. 3H8_DIV0648 scaffold00001, whole genome shotgun sequence.
UCUGCGUUAUUAUGAAUUCGUGAAUAAUUGAAUAAAAGCAUUUGGAACAGGGAACAAGGUGCGAAUCCUUGGCAGACCCUUUCUACUGUAUAAGCAGACGAAAUCUCAAUAGGCCACUUUCGGGAAGGCGAGAUGGAGGAUGAAGCGAAGUCAGGAUACCUGCCCUUUUGCUGAGAUAAUU